CUUUGGUUGUAUUUAUCUCCAAGAUCCGACCUCUUGGAAGCUCAGCAGUGUUCAUCCUCUGCCUCUUUGCUGAACCUGACAAAAGGCACGCAGUGCAUCGAAGCUCAGUGUGGGCAGUUUCUUAGCUGGCUGAUGUCUGGCAGAGCAUCGGCACACAUGGACCUGCUGAGGACCUCUCUUCUACAGCCCCAGAUCUCAUUCUGUAACACUCAGGGGUCAGUUCCAUACAAUGCUAAGGGCAGAGCUUUGGUCCUACUAAUGGCAGACCACGGAUCCAAGUGGGACAGCAAUGAUGGAAGCGAGCCUUCCCUUUUCCACUUGCCCGGCCAGGGAUUCUGAAUCUCAGAAUGCUUUCUACUCUCCAGCCAGAGUGGUGGCUCGACCUGAUGGAGCUGAAGACAGCUAGCAGGGAGCACCUGGGAGCAUCUCAAGCUUCUAUCCCCCAUCUCACGGAUUCACUGCUGGCUCCAGGUACCACCAUUCUGUGCCUAGCUUUCAAGAAAGCCAUGAAGGUAGAUGGUGCUCCCAGAAACAUUCCCCAGAGGUGAUCUAGACGCUUAACCUCCAAGGAUCACUGAAUUGAAGCCUUCGGUUUCUGAAGUAUGUAUGGUAUCAGGAGUCACACAGCCAAGAACUCAGAGCUGGAAAGCAGAGAGAUGAUUGGGAACCUCUCUGCUAGAGGAGAAAGAGUCCUAGCAAGUGACCAAAGAACAGAGUUUACUGCUUACUGUCUGUCUAUCUGACCUGGGAUGAAUCACAUCCCCUCUUUCUGCUCCCUAGCUUCCUCAUUUGUAACAUGAGUGGGUUGGAGUAAAUUACAGUAGUUCCCCUUGAUCCUGAGGAGGAACCUUCCAAGGCCCUCAGUGGACUCCUGAAAUCAUAUGUAACAUUGAACUCUAUAUAUGUUCUUUUUACAUGCAUACCUAUGAUAGGGUCUAACUUGUGAGUUAGACAUAGUAACAGAUUGACAGCAAUAACUGAUGAUAAAACAGAACCAUUAUAACAAGAUGCUACAAUAAAAGGUAUUUGG